rnacentral:lncRNA from 1 species
CUGACUCUCUGUCUCUCUCUGUCUCUCUGUCUCUCUGUCUCUCUCUCUUUCUCUCGAUCUCUCCCUCUCCCUGGAGUUGUCAGUAAAUUAAUCCAAAAAUCAGUUGGAAAACCAAUCAAUCAACAUCCACUGAUGACCUACUGUCUAUCAUAAAAUUUAUUCAGUUAUAAGAUUUUGUCUUUGUUCUGUGUCAGAGUUUGUGCUAAGCCCUAAGGUCUGAGAUGACUCAUACUUGGUCUCCACCUUCAGGCCUUGCAAGAUGAUGAGAGGACACAGGUAUAUUCAGAGGAUGAAGCAGAAUUGAGAGAAGUGUUGUGCCCAGAUUGCAAGGUCCCCAAAGACCACCAAGGAACCGAUUCCGAUGCAAACACACGAGGGUCGUUUAUUCAAGCUUGAGCAGGGACUCUCAACUGUCACCGAUGCAGCAGGAAUUAAAGCACUUUCAUGAGCUCACAGAGGUGGACUCUGUCCCUACUGCAUCUAAUAAGCCAUCCCUGGUUCUUCCCACCUGAUGGAGAAGUUGGCCAGUAACAAAUUUUAACUCAUAAUCCUUAUUCUAUCUAUACAGCUCAUAAUCCCAGGCAAUGGGAGUCCUCAAUUCUAUUGUUCUGGUGUAUAUAUUAUUGCUUGGCAAGUUCCUUGGCAAGUCACUUGUGGAAUGAUGUGAUCACAAGAUGUGGGGAUUUUCUCAUCAGACCGGGCCAUGUGUCCCCUUGGUCUGUAGUUGACACCCCUCGACAUUGUGUGUAUUGCAGAGGGAGUCUUGAAAAUGAGAGAUCCUGGUCAUAUGGGAAAGUAAUUGCAGUUCACUCCAUCACUGUGGUGAAGAUACUGAUGGCAGAGGAGAAGUCCACCAACAAAAUGAUCUGGUCUUACUAGGAGCUGGCUGAGUCAAUUUGCAGGACUGAUCUUCGCUUAGGUUGCCUCUGAGCACCAACUUGGAAAGUGCAAAGCACUUCUAGGUUGAUAAGCUGUAAAGUGAACUCAUUUGUUCACAUGCCGCCAGCAAUUAGGUAUAAAAUAACAGAACUAAUGAUCACUUUAGACUCUUAGACUUAAAAUUUUAAGAAUUUGGAGUCACUGGAAC